rnacentral:lncRNA from 1 species
GUAGAAAAUACUCCAACCAGAUCUAGAGAAACAAAACACAAACAGAUUUGUUAGAAGUGAUUACAAAAACAAACUGUUUUGUGCAAGAUUGUUUGAAACAACAAGAAAAGAUUAAAACUUCUAUUUUAAUGUGUUUCUUAAUGGAAUAAGAUAGGAGAACAUUUUUCUUGAAGCAACUUUAACCUGGAAUGAAAAUCAAUAAAAUUAGCAAGCCAAAACAGCAAGAACUAACUUAAAUAAGCAAUAAAAAAUAAAUUAAGGAUAGAAAAGAGAAGACAACGUCCUAAGAAGCCUUGGAAACAUUAAGAAUCCACAACUCCUUUCAAUGGCUCUAAUUUCCCCUCCAAG